CGUCGCGAUAAACCGCCGCCGCGUCGUCCUGGCGUAGUAUACCGUGCGGUCGGCUCGCGGCGGUCGCGGUUAUGUGUUAUAAUAAUAGUUUAAUACCCGGGUAUACAAUUCAACGCUCUUCGGCGGAUGUACAGGACUCAUCGGCGUCCUAAUCGCGCCCGCGGAGUCCGUCGACCGCGUCGGACUCGCGACCAACCACGGUUAUAGAUUUCGUAGUUAUUGUUAUACCUCACCGGUGUUGUGGUAUCAUAUACGCUUGCAGUCCGGUGUACCUACGAGUGUGUGCAAUUCGUUCAGUGAAAAGUGAAAACGACCGGGAAAAUAAUGAAUCGAAUCGCUCCGAAGAAUACCAUAUAAACGUCAUACAGUCCGGACAUGAAAAGGGAGACUGAGUUCGGUCAUGACGAUGCGGUGGUCAUGGGGUGUGCAGUUCGAGACGAGAUAACACGCACGUCACUGAAGCUCGUCGUCCCAAAUAUUGUUGAUUGACGAAAUCGAAUUUUAUUAGCUGAGUGGAGUAGUAAAGAGAGACCGCGCAGAUGUUAUAUGUUACGUUAUAUAACUUCACUCGUCCAAACUUUUAAAUGCUUAUUAAUAAAAAAUUAUUCUGCUUCCGUUCACGAAAUAAAAAACAGCUGCCAAUCAAAAGUUGAUAAUGGGUUCACCGACAGAUGACAUAAGGUACCUGGUACACUUUGAAAACGAAGCCCUUUACAAAUACAGGUCACGUCCGAAAUUCUCUAUUGAAACUAUUGGACUAAGGAGCUUGCCUACUACCUAUACAUAUACAGGUAUAAACUAUCAAGUAUUGGAAACUGCCAUAUUGAACAUCCCAAUCAUUUUGUUCUUACUUAAAACUAUUCAGUGAUAACUGGCAAAUAAAACGAAUCCAAAGAUGAGUUUGCAUUCCACACUAGCCAUUUCCAAAUACUGAUCAUCAUCCUCAAGACCGCUGACCAGAACUGUGUGCAUAUCUUCAGGCACAUCCCCUUAUAAUUUAUAAAAAAAAGUAGUGGCAAAUGUGUGAUUCUUAAGGGGAUUGAUGGAUGGGUAACUGAUGCUCCUCUUCUCUUCAACUAAUUAAAUGUUGAAGUUUCUCCCUGUUUCACACGUUCCUUAGUUCUUUUUAAUGUAGGUACCCACCCGUUCAUAUUACUUAUUACGGUUGGAACCACCCUAUCCAAAUAAUGAUAGUUAGCUUUAUUAAUAAUAAGCGACCACCCCACUAAUUUUGUUUGUUUUUUUUUUAUGUUUAUGUUUACUGUAUAUUUAUAUUUUCAUUAAUUUAUUUAAACUUUGUCGCUGUUGUUUGUUAUAAAUGUCAUUCAUUUAUGAGUUGUGUAUUAUUAAUUUAUUAAAUACCUACUUUUUUUAUUAAUAUUAUAAGAUCUUGAACCAUAUAAUAUGGAGAUUUUUGAUCGUUAAAUAAAAAUUAAUAAUAAUAAUAUUGUACACUAUUAACAAAUACAAGUUUGAUUAAAUUUUCGAAAACAUAUUUUGUACGUUAUAGUACGAACGAUAGUAGCAAUUAAUAAUUGUUAUAAAGUUGCAGUGUUAAAUAAUUAUUAUGAUUGUCGUGGGGGAAAGACAAACGUGUUAUUACCAUUGCGCUUGUACCUACAAAUUUACGUAGGUACUUAUAUAAAUAAAGACAAACGGCAACACGUCCGAGAGAUAAACAUUAAACAUAAUAGAACGUGUGCAGCUUCAUGGUUUUCGGCGGAAAACGCGUGAUAAUUGCGUGUAAACAACCAUAAACCGACUUUAACUUUUCCCGGGAAAUUAACCGACAAGGAUCAAUUAUUGGGGUAAAGCGGCACGCCGCCGCGGAAGCAGCCACCGCCACCGCCGCCGGUCUCAUUAUUGCAGCCUCCUACAACUACUACUUCUCGCCGAGAUGAUUAAAACGGGAAGAAGGGUAAAGUUUUUAACGAAAGACGAUUAAUGCCACGAGUUCUCCGGCGUGCGUUGAAAUUGCAUAAUAUUAUAUACAUUGUACUAUAUUAAAACGAUCGUUUCGUCGGACUAUACAUAAAACUAUACGAGCUCCGUUAAUCUUUCACCGAUAAUAUCUUAAUAUUGAAAUAUUUACGGUCCCGUCACCCGAUUUCUUAUUUGAUAAUAUUAUUAUAACAUAAUAACGACAUUAUCGCCACCGCGUAAGCCCCAGUUUUCGGGAUGCGAUAAAUUUCAGCGCACGCCAGAUUUAAAAAAAAAACCGUGUUCUCACAGCCCUCCGGUUCACUUUAAAACGUGUAUAAUAUGAGAUGCUGACCCGGGGGAAGGAAAAGAGGGAUAACGUCGAACGCCGAAAACUGGUAAGAGGGUGGAAGCGGAAAGGCACCGCCGCUGUUACGAUUUACACGGCGUCGCGUAGGCCAAUUUGUCAUCAUUGCUCGCGGGGUUAAAAAAAAAAAAUCCUCGGGGAUUGAAGCAUGACGAAACGCCGAGCUCCGUUGUCCUUUUUAUACGUAUUUUUCUCUCUCCCCCCCGAUACGCACAUAAUAUAGCGCUGCACCCUCGCCGCCCCGCGACGUUAUAUUAAAACUCCGAAACGUUUAAGUCGGCAUCGCGUAUUUAUUACCGUUUGAUUCGCGACGCCUGUUGUAUGUGUAUAUGACAUAAUAUAUACGUGUGUAUAUUGUUCGUUACGGUGUGUCAUGUCGCAUUCAAUUCUCUCGACGAGGUGCCAUUUGAUCUUCUUAAUAUACGCGCCAUCGGCCAAACGGGCUGUAAUAAAGCGGAUCGUUGGAACGGGUGUCACCUACACACUCUCUUGUACCCGUAUUGCCUAUAUGAUACGCCGGUUUACUGAACGAUAUUAUUAUUGCAACGCUAUUAUAUGGGUUUUUUCCUCACUACGAGUCUCCGUCUCACCUCAGUACAGUCCUUAUCCGAAAACCAUUGUAAUAGACACAAACAAAGUACGAAGUCAAAAAUAAACGACAGCAGCAAAUACGAUCUACAGGACUUACAAGUUGAAACGAUAUUAUUGAAUACAUCAACUAUAACGUUGACGUACUCUAAAAUGUACUAUGCAACAUACAAGUAAUUUCAGCUUCCACCGUGAUGUACAAUAAACCUCGAUUUCGGACUAAAAAUCGUUUUUACAUUAACUAUGGUAAAUUUUGCUGUGUACUGGUGAUUCAAUUUUUUGUUGUAAAAAUUAACUGGAAUUAAAAAAUUGAACAGUAAUUGGUAGCUAAUUUGACCUCGAAUAGGAUUGGAAUAUACUUUCUGGUAUAUUUGUAAUAUAUUCACUAUGCAUAGUAUAGGAUUAACUCAUAAACAAUAUGGUGUACCACGUCUUUUAGUUAAUCUAACUACCAAGAUUUAGCCAAUCACAGCGCCAACGUUUUAUCUAAUUUUUUUUUCAGAAAUCUCAUUAUAUAGGCACAUGCUAUGUCAGCUAAUCAAAGUCAUGACCACCACGAUGGAUUUAAACAUAUAUAAUCAA